GGAGACAAACAUAAUCCAGCACUCGUGAGUGGGCAUGCAGCAAAGAAAAAAGAGGGCAGGGUUCAAUUCACCAAAAAAGACGAAGGUUUCCUGGAGUCCGCAGGGCAAAAGCACAGCGCGUUUCCAGCCAGGAGCCGCGUGGCAUGCUGCUUCUCCCGUCCCAGAGCCUCUCCGCCCGCUCCAUCCGCCGCCGCUCGCCUCCAGCCCGUUCCUUCUUUCCGGCCCG
rnacentral:lncRNA from 1 species